rnacentral:rRNA from 1 species
AGAGUUUGAUCAUGGCUCAGGACGAACGCUGGCGGCGUGCUUAACACAUGCAAGUCGAACGGAAAGGCCCUUCGGGGGUACUCGAGUGGCGAACGGGUGAGUAACACGUGGGUGAUCUGCCCUGCACUUUGGGAUAAGCCUGGGAAACUGGGUCUAAUACCGAAUAGGACCGCAUGCUUCAUGGUGUGUGGUGGAAAGCUUUUGCGGUGUGGGAUGGGCCCGCGGCCUAUCAGCUUGUUGGUGGGGUAAUGGCCUACCAAGGCGACGACGGGUAGCCGGCCUGAGAGGGUGUCCGGCCACACUGGGACUGAGAUACGGCCCAGACUCCUACGGGAGGCAGCAGUGGGGAAUAUUGCACAAUGGGCGCAAGCCUGAUGCAGCGACGCCGCGUGGGGGAUGACGGCCUUCGGGUUGUAAACCUCUUUCAGUAUCGGCGAAGCUCCAGGAUUUUUCUUGGGGUGACGGUAGGUACAGAAGAAGCACCGGCCAACUACGUGCCAGCAGCCGCGGUAAUACGUAGGGUGCGAGCGUUGUCCGGAAUUACUGGGCGUAAAGAGCUCGUAGGUGGUUUGUCACGUUGUCCGUGAAAACUCACAGCUUAACUGUGGGCGUGCGGGCGAUACGGGCAGACUGGAGUACUGUAGGGGAGACUGGAAUUCCUGGUGUAGCGGUGGAAUGCGCAGAUAUCAGGAGGAACACCGGUGGCGAAGGCGGGUCUCUGGGCAGUAACUGACGCUGAGGAGCGAAAGCGUGGGGAGCGAACAGGAUUAGAUACCCUGGUAGUCCAA